AGUGAACGCUGGCGGUAAGCCUAACACAUGCAAGUCGAACGGCAGCACAGGAGAGCUUGCUCUCUGGGUGGCGAGUGGCGGACGGGUGAGGAAUACAUCGGAAUCUACCUUUUCGUGGGGGAUAACGUAGGGAAACUUACGCUAAUACCGCAUACGACCUACGGGUGAAAGUGGGGGACCGCAAGGCCUCACGCGAUUAGAUGAGCCGAUGUCCGAUUAGCUAGUUGGCGGGGUAAUGGCCCACCAAGGCGACGAUCGGUAGCUGGUCUGAGAGGAUGAUCAGCCACACUGGAACUGAGACACGGUCCAGACUCCUACGGGAGGCAGCAGUGGGGAAUAUUGGACAAUGGGCGCAAGCCUGAUCCAGCCAUACCGCGUGGGUGAAGAAGGCCUUCGGGUUGUAAAGCCCUUUUGUUGGGAAAGAAAUCCUGUCGAUUAAUACUCGGUGGGGAUGACGGUACCCAAAGUAUAAGCACCGGCUAACUUCGUGCCAGCCGCCGCGGUAAGAC
rnacentral:rRNA from 1 species